rnacentral:rRNA from 1 species
CAGUCGCCGCGGUAAUACGUAGGUGGCAAGCGUUGUCCGGAAUUAUUGGGCGUAAAGGGCUCGCAGGCGGCUUCUUAAGUCUGAUGUGAAAGCCCCCGGCUCAACCGGGGAGGGUCAUUGGAAACUGGGAAACUUGAGUGCAGAAGAGGAGAGUGGAAUUCCACGUGUAGCGGUGAAAUGCGUAGAGAUGUGGAGGAACACCAGUGGCGAAGGCGACUCUCUGGUCUGUAACUGACGUUGAGGAGCGAAAGCGUGGGGAGCGAACAGGAUUAGAUACCCCAGUAGUCCCUGUCUCUUAUAC